rnacentral:misc_RNA from 1 species
UGGCUUUAAUUUACGGUGUUAUAUUAUUAAGACAUUUUCAUGUUUGUAUUUUAUAUUUACCAAAUUUAUUUGAGUCUAUACAGACCCUUUUAUUCAGCGUUGUUUCAUCUAAUAAUAGAAACCAUUUUUACGUGAUCACAUACGGUCGGCGUUUUAUAUGCUGUAUGAUUUGUAUUCUCUGUUGAAAUUUUUAUCGAUUAAGCAAAUAUUUUUAGCUACAUCACAAGGAUUUUUUUAUAAAUAAUAACAAUUCACUAAAUGUAGUUUGCAAAAUGAUGAAUUCCAAAACCAGAUUGGUUGAUGCAAAUGUAAAUUACAAACCAAAAGGUUUUUGUUUAUCUUUACAAGAACUGUAUAGAAUUUACUACAAUAUUUCCCUUUUCAACUUUUAUUUUGUUUAUGAUAUCAGUGAUAACCACUUUAUUUGGUUUUGUUUUUUUAACAUAUACGUGUAAAUAUAUGUGAGAUGGUUUGAUAUUUGUUGUUUGUUAUUUUGGUUGGUUAAAAUUUCUUAUCUUUCAAUAUCAUGUAAUUAUAGCAAUUUUUUAUUCUUUGCAAUUUUUGCACAUGUGACCAAGUUCUCCUGUAUCAAAAUAAAAAUCUACUU